rnacentral:lncRNA from 1 species
ACAUGGGGGUUUGUCGUACAGAUUAUUUUGUCACCCAGGUAUUAAGCCUAGUACCCAUUGGUUAGUUUUCCUGACCCUCUCCUUCCACCCACUCUCCACCCUCUGAGAGGCCCCAGUGUUUGGUGUUCUCCUCUAUGUGUCCAUGUGUUCCCAUCACUUAGCUCCCACUUAUAAGUGAGAACAUGUGGUAUUUGGUUUUCUGUUCUUGCAUUAGUUUGCAGAGGAUAAUGACCUCCAGCACCAUCCAUGUUCCUACAAAAGACAUGAUCUCAUUCUUUUUAUGGCUACGUGGCAUUCCAUGGUGUAUAUCUACCACAUCUUCUUUAUCCAGUCUACUAUUGAUGGACUUUUAGGUUGAUUCCAUGUCUUUGCUAUUGUGAAUAGUGCUGCAAUGAACAUAUACAUGUGUGUCUUUAUAACAGAACAAGUUAUAUUCCUUUGGGUAUCUACCCAGUAAUGGGGCUGCUGGGUCAGAAGGUAUUUGUUUUUCGGUCUUUGAGGAAGAACCACACCGUUUUCCACAACGGUUGAACUAAUUUCCACUUUCACCAACAGUGUGUAAGCAUUCCUUUUUCUCUGCAACCUCGCCAGCAUCUGUUUUUUGUUUGUUUUUUGAGACGGAGUUUUGCUUUUGUUGCCUGGGCUGGAGUGCAAUGGCACGAUCUUGGCUCAUCACAACCUCUGCCUCCCGGGUUCAAGUGAUUCUCCUGCCUCAGCCUCCCAAGUAGUUGGGAUUACAGGCAUGCACCACCAUGCCUGGCUAAUUUUGUAUUUUUAGUAGAGUUGGAGUUUCUCCAUAUUAGUCAGGCUGGUCUCGAACUCCUGACCUCAGGUGAUCCACCUGCCUCAGCCUCCCAAAGAGCUGGGAUUACAGGCGUGAGUUACCGUGUCCAGCCUAGCAUCUUUUAUUUUUUGACUUUUUAAUAAUAGCCAUUCGGACUGGUGUGAGAUGGUGUCUCAUUGUGGUUUGGGUUUGCAUUUCUCUAAUGAUCAGUGGUGUUGAGCUUUUUAUCAUAUCCUUGACUAAGACCCAUCAGUCAAUUUGUGGAAUCAAGACUGGCUUCAAGAUAGACUAACUCCUAGUAGACUUUUUCACUAACAGUUACAAUCCCUGAACCGCAGACUCUACACUGAAAAGGUCCCAUCAUAUGGGCACUCCUGCUGCUGAGAAAAUUGAACAUAACAGUAUUUCAGAUAAACCUAUGAGAAGAUGAAACUAAGUGGAGGUAGAAUUCAAACUUGUUCAGAGAAAGAUACAAAACGAGAGACGUGAAAUAACCAUUGUCUGUAGGUCUGACAGCAAGAAAUAGAGAUAGAAGAGCUUCAUUUGAAGUUUUGAACUGUUUACCUUAAAAAUAUUAAUGGUGAAUGCUUAUCAAUCAUGUCUGUGUGUCAGGCACUGUUCUAAGUGCUUUAUGUUCAUUAACCAUUUGCAGUAAAUACUGUUUUCCUUCCCACAAAACAAGUGAGGAAAGAGAGGCUUAGAGAGGGGAAGUCAGUGGCCCCAAAUCCUGCAGUUGAUAAGUGAUGGACUUAACCAGGAUUUAACCCUCGGCAGUCUGAUCCCCGAGCUCCGAGUGCUAAUCGUUCACCCUCUCCCUCCUCCCACCCUCCAACCUCAAAGAGACCCCAGUGUGUGUGGCUCCCCCUACGCGUCAGGAACAUAGGGCCAUUCAAGCAGCCUUUAGGUUAUAGAGAUGAUUUACAGUCACAUGGAAGGAGAGUUUUGCUUAAAACUGGUAGAAGAAAUAGGUAAAGUAAGUGGGAAAUGAGGUAAGCUUGCUAGCUACACAAAUCAUCUUCACAACUCGAAGCUCAAAUACCCUCAGUGUUCAGCUGGUGUGUCUUCACUAUUUGAUGUGCAGUAAAUAUUCUCGCUUCUUUUUCACUAUAAGAGCAACGUCAUUUUCAGUGUCCACAAGCUGGAUUCACGUAGAUCCCCCAAAUCCUUAAACAUCUGUGACCGUUGGUGUAUAAACGGUCGAAGCAUUUGAUCAACUUCCUAAAAAAAAAGUGAAAAAAAUUAUAGUGAUAGAUUUCAUGUCAUCAGUAAAAAAUGUGUGUGUAUGAGUGGGGUGCCCACUAAGUUCCCCUUUGGGAUAGAAAACUGCUUUUGAAAGCUGCUAGCAGAGGCAGUAAGUCACCUAGGAGCAGUUUUGUUUCGGAUGACCCUAAGUUACUGCCAGUAGGGAAAACUGGUGAGAUAAGUCAAAUAUUUUCCACUGGAAUGUUACUUCCUUAGUGUUUUAAUACUGUCGAAGGAGUAUUAAAGGAGUCUUGAGGGGCCAGUGGGUGUAGGGGCUCUCCCAUUGGUAGGGUUUUGCCGAUGCUUCCCCUAACCUGUGGAGGCAAGUACCCCUGAGAACUAGGGAUGCCCUGGGGCAGAGUCCUGGAGACAAGUGUUGGAGGAGAUGGUACCGCACUGGCUGAAAAUGGGAACGGCAGAGAGCAGGUAGUGUGACGUGAUGGAGGAGAUGGUACCGCACUCACUGAAAAUGGGAACAGCAGAGAGCAGGUAGUGUGACGUGAUGGAGGAGAUGGUACCGCACUCACUGAAAAUGGGAACAGCAGAGAGUGGCACUGGGAUUCAGUUUCUAUUUCCCUGAGUAUUAGUGAAAUGCCUGUUCAAAUCCUUUGCCGAUUUUUUUCGAAUGUGCUUUCCAACAUAUUAUCUUUUUUUAAAUCUUAAAAGUAAUAGUUUAUUCUGAAUACUAAUGCUUGCUAAAUAAUAUUAAUAUAUUUUCCAGGCUGUGGUUUAUUUGAAACUUUGUUUAAGGUGUCUUUCAUUUAACCAGUUAUUCUUUUUUAUUGUGAGCUACGUAGAACAGAAAAGUACCCUAAAUAUAUUGACAGGCCUAAAGUGAACACACCUGCUCUAGAGAGCCCACUGCCUGGAACUCCUCCUGUCACCUUCUUCCUGUCCCAGAAGCAACUGCCAGCCUGACUUGUGUGGUCACCAUUUUCUUGCCUUUCUCAAUAGUUUUGCCACCUAGAGUAUAUCCCUAAACAGUAUAUUUUGCCCUCUUUGAAUGUUUAUAGAAUCAUGUUGGAUGUCAUCUUUCGUAACUUGGUUUCCAUCACUAUUGGAAGACUCUUCUUGUUGCCUGUGGCUGUUGUUCACUUUCAUGGCAAUGUAGUGUUACACAGCAUAGAGGGGCCAAAAUUUACCCGUCUUCGGUGAACAUGUAUUAGGGAUGUUUCCAGUUUGGGGCUACUAUGGAAGAGGGUUUUAUGAACAGCAGUGCACAUCAACUAAGAUUUCUGUAGUGUUUUUCAACUGGCCCCUCAUCUGAACCACAGAACGGAAGUGAUUUGAAUAACUGUUUUCUCAGUUCUUUCAAGAAUGGUGUGUAACUAGUGCCAUCCUAGACACAUAUGACAGAGUUAGCUUAUUUCGUAUGUCAGAUGCCUCAGUGCAGUAGGUUCUCAAACUUGAAGGCAGAAUCAUGGAGAGGGUUUGUUGAAACACGUGUUACUAGGCCUCACACCCAGAGAUUCUGAUUCAGUAGGUCUGGGGUGGGGCCCUGGAUUUUGCAUUUCUGACAAGUUCCUAGAUGCUGCUGAAGCUGCUAGGCCAUAGGGCACACUUCGAGAAUCUCUGCCUGAGGCAUUAGGGCUUUAACUCUGCAGAACCAGUUCAGCUGUGAAGGAAGGAAGAGUUGAAUUGCAGGCUUCUAGGUUCUAGUAUCUUCAACUUUUAAUAAGUAAAUGCCAAAUAAUUUUUAAAUGGUUGUACCAAUUUAUACUCCUCUCAGCCAUACAUGAGAGUUUCUGUUACUUCAUAUCUUCACCAAAACUUGAUAUUGUCAAGCUUUUUAAUUUUUGCCAGUAUGGAAGGUUAAUAAUGGUAUCUCAUUGUGGUAUCAGUUAGUAUUUCCCAAACUAUUAAUGCGAUUAAGCACUUCUCCAUAUAUUUAUUGGCAUUUUUAAUUUCCUCUUUUGUGAAGUUCCUGUUCAAAUCUUUUGACCAUUUUUUUUUCUAUUGGGUUGUCUAUUUUUCUUUUUGGUUAGUAGUUCUUUAUUUUGGAUAUUAGUUCAUUAUAUGUUAAACGUGUUGCAAAGAACUUUUCCCAUUCCUUCUGGCUUUUUCAUUUUGGUGUCUUUUGAUGCACCAAAGUUCACCAUUUUAAUUUAGCUGACUUUAUCGGUCUCCCUCUUUAAAGCUAGGGGGGUGUGUGUGUGUGUGUGUGUGUGUGUGUGUGUGUGUGUGUGUGUCAUGCAUAAGAAAUCCUUUUCCACUGUGAGGUCGUAAAGACAGUCUCCUAAAGUAUCUUCUGAAAGCAUUUGAGGCAGGGCAUGGUGGCUUAUGCCUGUAAUUCCAGCACUUUGGGAGGCUGAGGCGGGAGGAUUGCUUGAAGCUAGGAGUUCGAGACCAGCCUGGGCAACAUAACAAGAACCCCAUCUCUAUUUUUAAAAUAUUUAAAUAAAUAAAUAAAAGCAUUAGGGUUGUGCCUUCCACAUUUAGCUCUUUAAUUCUCACCUGAAAUUGAUUUCUGGGGUAGUUUUAGAUAGGAAUCCAGUUUCAUUUGUCCCCAUACAUAUUCCUAAUUCCCCAGCACUGUUUAUUGAAAAGUCCAUCCUUGCCACAUUGAUUUGCAGUUCCACUCGGUUGUAUAUCAAGUCUGUAGUCCUGAAUAAAUCUGUUUCUGAGCCUUCUGUUCUUUUUCUUUGGUUAUUUAUCUAUCUUUGGGCCAACACCUUACCUUACUGCCUCUGUUACAGAGGCAUUAAAAUGAAGUGUUGAUAUCAGGUAGGGCAAGUCUUUCUGUCUUGUUCUUGGGUCUGGUCUCAUCUUGGCUAGUUUUUGCUUUUGCAAUUCCAUACAAAUUGUAGAAUUAUCUUGUUAGGUUCUAUUACACUUGAUUGGAAUUACAAUGACUCUUGGGGAAGAGUUGACAGAUGUACAAUAACAAAUCUUCCAAACCACGGAGAGAUGGCAGUUUCUCUAUCUAUUUAUAUCCUUUUAAACAUCUCUCAAAUAAGUUUUAAAAUUUUCUCCGUACAACUCUUACAUAUUUUAUGUCAGCUAUAGGCCUAAGUAUUCCAUAUAUUUGAUGCAAUUAUCAAUGGUGUCUUUUAUUUUAAAAAUAAUUUUCUGCUUGCUGCUGUUAUAUUCAAAUACAGUUAAUUUUUAAAUCUUGAUUUUUGUAUCUAGCAACUUUGUAAUUCAUUUACAAAUUCUUGGGGAUUUUCUGUCUAUACAAGCAGGUCAUCUGGGAUGAUACUAGAGGCAGCGCAGUAUAGACUGGGGAACAGCACCGGCAGGGUCUGGACCUCAGCGCUGCCACAGAUGAGUCAUGUGUCUUUAGACACGUUCCAUGAACUGUAAAAUAAGGUGAAUAAUAGUACCUGCCUCAUAGGGUUGCUGUGAGAAUUGAGACAGUAAAUGUAAAGCAGGUUGUAAGUGUUACAUAAGUGUAUGCUAUUAUUGUAAUUACUUUUCUUUCCUUUCCAGUCAUACUUUGUAUUUCUUUUCCUUACUGCACUGGCUAGAACCUAAAGGACAGAGGUCAAGAAAGCUGGCAUCCCUGACCUCCUGAUCUGAAAAGAAAAGCUUUCAGUCAUUCAUCACUAAGCAUUUUGUCCACUGUGUGUUUGUCUUAAGAUUGCCUUUAUCAGAUUAAGGAAUGUCCAUUUUAUUCCUAGUUUGCCGAGAAUUUUUAUUGUCAUAGGAUGUUUAAUUUGGCCACAUCUUUUUCUGCAUCUGUUGAAGUAAUCAAAUUAUUUUAUCUUAUAAUCUCUUAAUAUGAUGAAUUACAUUGGGUUUUAUAAUGAUAAACCAAACAGGGUAGUCUGUAUAUUGCAUUGUAAAGUGAGUGGGUAUCAGUCGUGCAGUGACCGUGGUAGCGUGGAGCCAGCCGGAUGUGCACUCAAAUAAAAAGGUCAGAGCAGAGACGGACGGCGGCCUGAGAGGGCAGCAGAUUCGCGCUAACAGAGCAGGUCAAGCAGGGCCUCCUCGCCUUGCUCUUCCGCUUCAGCAUAUACGUCUCCAAGCUCAGGAAAUGCAGUUACAUCAAAUGUCUAAAUUGGAUGGAAAGAAAUUCUGUGUGCUCCCAGGAUUCCAGUUCCUUACCGGAGGUUGGUGCCGUCUGAGUCUGAAAAGCUGCCCUCUUGCCGUGUUCAUGCUUUGGUAGAACACCUUCAGAGCCUUGGCAAGCUCUCGGUCAGAGCCGGCUUGCUGUGUGCACAUUUGGCUCAUCUCCCCGGCGGAUGGCAGUUGCGCAGUCAUCCCGCUGAUCUUCAGAGUGUUGGAAGGCUUCGGGGCUGAGGUGGAAAAAGGUAACAUUGAUUUAUGUAUCUCUUUCUCUGGGCAUCUCUAUAUUUAUUUUGGUGGCAUUCUACUGCAUCAGCAUUUAUCAGGCACCAGUUUGGAUCCAUCCAAGGGAAAGGGGAAAUCUCACAGGGCAGAAGAAAUGUCCGGCAUUUUUUGUUUAUGAAAGAAGAUACGAAUUAACUCAUUUAAAAGUUUGUUUCUUAAAAGACAAAUACACAUCCCAAAUGUAGGAGUCUAGGGAUAAGCUAAACAGCCAAGACUGGAGCAGUCUCUCACCUUGACCAGAAGCAGUUUUCGCAAGUGAUGCUUUGAGAAGCACGUUCUCCUCUCUCAGGGCUCUGUUAAUGUUCCUGAGCGGUUCCGUCUCCUGCUCUAGCUUGAGCAGCUUCAGAUAAAGUUCUGGUAUCUGGUUUGAUGCUGCCUACCAGAAAACAUGUCAGUUUCGUCUUUUGUUGUAUCAUCUGCAUAUCCUUUGAGACUGGCAAUGUUUGCUACCAUGGGAAAAUCAAAUGGGAUGGGAGUGUGUGUAUGGUGAGCAGAGUUUAAGCCCCUCAGGGUACACAGGAGUAAAUAAAGAAAACGUUUGUUAAGGGGGAAGGAACGUCAAGCAGCCGUCCUCAGAGAUUUUCUAGCCACCUGGGAUGCCCACUUUAGUGUCCUAUGUACACACCUGGCUUAUAUCCUUCACAGUGGAAAUUUUCUUGGUGUCUACCAGGAUGUGGCCUUCACCUGUGACCAUGAGGCCCAGCUGAGAGCAGCUCAGCUCGGUGCAGCCUUCUGUAAUGGGGAGAGACACAGUCAAAGAAAGAAACAUCCCAGUCGCCCAGCUCCAGUGUCAGCUUCAUGCAGUAGGCCAGCGACUGGAGCCAGAUGUGAGCUGAGCCCAAGCGGACGACCUCGACAGGAUCCCAGAAAGGGUCGUCAUCUCGAGCCACAGGGCCGUGAUCUCCAUCUAGAAAGCGCUGGUAAAGUUCCUGCAUUAGGAAUUUCCUAUUGAUGAACUUGGCUUUUGACCAUAUCCACACCUGGAAACACAGAGGUAGGUCACCAGUAUUUGAUUCAUCUGCUGCUCUCACAAUUCAUCACUCUGAUUUUCCCAGCAUGCUCCCUUCAUUGACUGGGUUUGCGGUACGCAUGACCACAUCCCACUUUCUCCACACCUAGCUUUGCUGACAUCAAGAAUAUCGUAUUAAUUCCUGGACCUGUUACUUCCCCAUUGCUUGAGCCUAGGAAACGAUUUAGAGGAGAUGAUGAAGGGGUUAGAAAACAGAUCCUCUCAGGGGAGAAGGUUUGGGGCUUAUGGUGUCAGAAUGGUCCUCAAAGAUGCCCAUGUGCUAAUCCCCAGAACCUGUGAAUAUAUUACUUUGCAUGGCAAACGGAAAUUAAGGUUUGUCAUCAACUGACCUUAAAAUACGGAGAUUAGCCUGGAGUAUCCAGGUGGCCCCAAUGAAAUCACAAGGGUCUUCAAUAUGGCCGAGAGAAGCAGAAGAGAGGGUCAGAGAUAGGAUAAUGCCUGCGGGGUCAGAGAGAGGUUAUGUGGCGGCUUUGAAGAUGGAGGGAGGUGGCCUCUAAAAGCUGGAAGGGGCCGGGAAACAGAUUCUCUUCCUCAGGCCCAGAAAGCAGUACCGCUCUGUCGACACCCUGCUUUUAGCCCAAUGAGACCCAAUUUGGACUUCUCACGUGUAGAACGAUAAGGUAGUAAGUUUGGGUCAUUUAAUGAGCCUGGUCAUUCAUGAACAGCAGCCAUGGAAGAUGAUGCGGGGGUAGUUAGUCUGGAGAAGAGCUGAGAAGUGGCUCCCCCGCCAUGACUGGAGUGCACACGGGCACACAUCCACAAGCACAGGAGACACUCCCCACAGCCUUCCCAGCCCAGCAUGGCAGGCAUUCUGAGCUCCAUUCUGUAGAGACCCAAGCAGGCGUCCUUCCUUGUUCAGGGGUCCACACCCAGUGCACAGCAGAUCCAGGACAACAGCCUGCCGCUGUCUUCCUCCUCACUGGGUGAGGACAGGGCCUCUGUCAGCACUGGCUCUGGAGAGGAAACAAACCUGAAGCCACAGGAGGAGGGAUUCCAGAGGGAUUCCAGGAAAGCAGAGAGACACAGUGUGAAAUCGCUGCUCUCAGAUCAGCACACGGGAGAGGCCAGCAGUCAGGAGGGGGCUCACCGAGUUUGUCUGCACUCGCUCCCUCCGCAGCCGCCCUCUCCAGCUGGAAGAAGUCGUAAUCGAACCUGCUCAGGUCCUCACUGCCCCACUCCGAAGGAAACCCCACGUACAGGUGAGGUCAGAGGAGUGAAGUGACUUGCCCAAGACCACACAGUGAGUCAGGAGCAGGCCUGUCCCUCCAGCAGUGGUGCCAUGUUGUCCCCAAGCCAUGGUGGCAGAGGAGCUGGUGUGAACGCCCCAUCCUGCCACGUCUGUGAUGUGGGCACCUCACAUGACUGUCCCCUCCCAGCUCUUGGGGGGGACCUAGGACAUUCUGUGAGCCUGCAGGAAAGUUUACCAAAUGCUGCAGCUUUGUCCUGGUGGUGAUGGGCACCCCGUUAACGGCAACCUUGCAUUUGCUAUGUGGAGUGACCGUCACUUUACCGUCGGCAUUUGUGAAGGAAGCGUGUUUAUCUGAAAUUCUAAGAAGAUGAGAGUCAAAGACACCCAGCAAACGGCGGUUUCCGUGAGCAGGGUUGGAGCCCAGGAAGCAAACCAGCACUGCACCCUAGAUUUCAGCCAGAGGACGAAAGCCCUGCCCUCAGCUUUCUCAGACCAGCCCUGGAGUAGGUGGCCCGGGGAGACCUGGGCAGUGUCCCUGCUUGUCCUGCAGACUGUGUGGCUCUGCAGACCUCUAGAUGGAGGAGGCACAAUUCUCUAAUGCUGGACGAGGACACUGAUCAUGGAAACUCACCCCAAACCUUGAAUCGUGAUAGCAUUUGAGGCAGCCUGACCGGUGCCACAUGAACCUGAAAGGAAUCAAGAUAUAAUUUAUUUUGAAAAUAAAUCAGACACUUUCAGAAUUUGAGCGUAAGAAGUUAACAUGUCUGAUGCGUUGGAAGUGACGUUUUCUCUACAGUGGGAUGGUACUGAAGGGAUUUUUCCAGUUGGGAUUUUCAAUCAUAAUGGUACUUAGACAUACUUUUCUUUCUGCCUUGUGUGUGGGGGGAAGAGCGGGGAUGUUCCUAACUUUUAAAAAGUUCCACCUUCUUCAUGAGCAUUCUGGAGGAAGACACCAUUAGGUCUGGGCCUUAGGAGACCCACUGAAUACUGGCCACAGCAGAGGUUCUGGUGUUUGAAGCUCCGUUUCUGUGUAGUGACUGACCCCAAGGAGUGCAGACAUGUCACCCCCCACAUCCCCACAUCCCACGGCCAUCUCGCACGGAGCCCUCGCGGCCGCCCUGGGGGGUGCACGGAGCCCUCGCGGCGGCCCUGGGGGGUGCACGGAGCCCUUGCGGCCGUCCUUGGGGUGCUCGGAGCCCUCGCGGCCGUCCUGGGGGUGCACGGAGCCCUCGCGGCCGUCCUGGGGGUGCACAGCCGGGGAGGGGAAGCCAGGGGCUCCUGCGGUUCUGGGCGCUGUGUUCCAACCUGUUCAGCACUCAUUUAGGUCAGGAAGACAAUUCAACAGCUGAUGCCCUCCUCAGAAACCGCUAAACAAAAAUGUAACAAGAACGAUGCCAGGAUAAUAGAUGAAUAAAACGUGCUGUAUACAUCCGAGGGAAUGGUUUUCAGCCUUCAAGAGGAAGGAAAUUCUCACACAUGCUACAUGGAUGCACCUUGAGGACAUUCUGCUGAGGGCAUAAGCCAGUGAGAGAUGGAUGAAAAGGUCCUUAUCUGAGGUCCCCCAUCGUCAAAUCCACAGAGACAGAAGGUGGGACACUGGCUUCCAGGGCUGGAGGGGGAGGGGUUAUCUGAGGUCCCCCCAUUGUCAAACGCACAGAGACAGAAGGUGGGACAGUGGCUGCUGGACUGGAGGGGGAGGGGUUAUCUGAGGUCCCCCCAUCCUCAAACACACAGAGACAGAAGGUGGGACACUGGCUCCCAGGGCUGGAUGGGGAGGGGUUAUCUGAGGUCCCCCCAUCGUCAAACGCACAGAGACAGAAGGUGGGACACUGGCUCCCAGGGCUGGAGGGGGAGGGGUUAGCUGAGGUCCCCCAUCCUCAAACACACAGAGACAGAAGGUGGGACAGUGGCUGCUGGUCUGGAUGGGGAGGGGUUAUCUGAGGUCCCCCCAUCGUCAAACGCACAGAGACAGAAGGUAGGACACUGGCUCCCAGGGCUGGAGGGGGAGGGGUUAUCUGAGGUCCCCCCACUGUCAAACACACAGAGACAGAAGGUGGG